GGAAGAUGGUGCAACAUGACCUUUUAUGUAUAAAAAGAGACAGAAGAUUAAGCUUCCAAAAUUUAGUGUAGAGAGAAUCUCUCCCAGAUGAUCAUACACGAUUGUAGGAUUGAAUAUUCCAAACCACCAAAGGCUGAGAUAGGUAAUUAGUGUCACUGUAUAUGCUGCCAUGCCAUUUGCCUUAUAGACAGGCCUGUGUCCAGUAGGAGAUAUCGGUCCUUCAACCCUUUUACCAGGCAACAAAAGCUGAAGUGUAGCCUCAAAUAGAGCAUAGCAAAUUAUUAUUUUUCCCGCAAUUGCAGUGGGUCUUGGCCAAAUGUCAAUUAGUCCUUGCAGGCCAUUCUCCUUUAGAUAAUUAUAUGUUUGCAAUACAGAUCCAUCAGCAUGAACAUUUGUAUACCACAUGAGAAUAACAAAAGGGGGUACUAAAGUGAGCAGAGUGAUCAUUGAGAUAUAGGUGAAUAAAGGAGGGUGAACCAACUGAGACUCCGCCAUUGCUUCUUCCUCCCUCCCUGUUCUCUGCACCUCUUCUUGUUUUUGAAAAACUAAAAGAUAACUCGGCCACUGCUAAUUUUGUUGAUUAUAAAUUACACACACGCACACUGGAC
rnacentral:misc_RNA from 1 species